GACGGACGCUGGCGGCGUGCUUAACACAUGCAAGUCGAACGGAAAGGCCCUGCUUUUGUGGGGUGCUCGAGUGGCGAACGGGUGAGUAACACGUGAGUAACCUGCCCUUGACUUUGGGAUAACUUCAGGAAACUGGGGCUAAUACCGGAUAGGAGCUCCUGCUGCAUGGUGGAGGUUGGAAAGUUUCGGCGGUUGGGGAUGGACUCGCGGCUUAUCAGCUUGUUGGUGGGGUAGUGGCUUACCAAGGCUUUGACGGGUAGCCGGCCUGAGAGGGUGACCGGCCACAUUGGGACUGAGAUACGGCCCAGACUCCUACGGGAGGCAGCAGUGGGGAAUAUUGCACAAUGGGCGGAAGCCUGAUGCAGCAACGCCGCGUGCGGGAUGACGGCCUUCGGGUUGUAAACCGCUUUCGCCUGUGACGAAGCGUGAGUGACGGUAAUGGGUAAAGAAGCACCGGCUAACUACGUG
rnacentral:rRNA from 1 species